rnacentral:rRNA from 1 species
GAUGAACGCUAGCGGCAGGCUUAAUACAUGCAAGUCAAGGGGGUAGCAAUACAACCGGCGCACGGGUGAGUAACGCGUACACAACAUACCAUAUACUGGAGUAUAGCUUUGGGAAACUGAAGGUAAUCCUCCAUAACAUUGCGAGAGGGCAUCUGAUUGCAAUUAAAGUUUCGGCGGUAUAUGAUUGGUGUGCGUUUGAUUAGCUAGUUGGUAGGGUAACGGCCUACCAAGGCGACGAUCAAUAGCUGGCGUGAGAGCGCGACCAGCCACACUGGAACUGAGGCACGGUCCAGACUCCUACGGGAGGCAGCAGUAGGAAUAUUGGACAAUGGAGGAAACUACUGAUCCACGCCAUGCCGCGUGA